rnacentral:misc_RNA from 1 species
UAACCUUACCUCCCCAAGAAUCUGGCUAAUCACCAGCAUAUUUGAUAACAACAGAGAUCUACUAAUCAAAGAUUACUAUUCUUGCUAAACGCCACAAGCCAAUUGGAUGAGGCUGAAAUAACUUAAUUACCAGGGCUACAACAAUUUAUAGCUAAUCCUUCUUCAUAAGUUUGCUGGCAAUAAACCAGCAUCAGUAAUCACAUGACAGUGAAACUGUCCACCAUACUAAUAAAUAAUAAUAAUAAGGGAUCCAUUUACCAUGUAAAUAUAGGCAACUGUCCAACAAGAAUCUAUCAGCACUUCCAUUCCAUGAUUGGAAUCUUGUGUUACAAAUUAUGGAGCAAUUACUACAAACUAUAAGCAAGUCAUCAACUAA